UACAGAGGUCUCAAGCGUUGUUCGGAUUCAUUGGGCGUAAAGGGCUCGUAGGCGGCCAACUAAGUCGGACGUGAAAUCCCCAGGCUCAACCUGGGAACUGCGUCCGAUACUGGAUGGCUUGAAUCCGGGAGAGGGAUGCAGAAUUCCAGGUGUAGCGGUGAAAUGCGUAGAUAUCUGGAGGAAUACCGGUGGCGAAGGCGGCAUCCUGGACCGAGAUUGACGCUGAUGAGCGAAAGCUAGGGGAGCAAACGGG
rnacentral:rRNA from 1 species